rnacentral:rRNA from 1 species
UAGGUACGCUAAUAUCGUAUCUAUUUGACAAAGGCUCCAAAGGAAGCCACGGCUAACUCUGUGCCAGCAGCCGCGGUAAUACAGAGGUGGCAAGCGUUGUUCGGAAUUAUUGGGCGUAAAGAGCACGUAGGUGGAUUUGUAAGUCAGAUGUGAAAGCCUUCUGUUCAACGGGAGAAUUGCAUCUGAAACUACAGACCUUGAGUGUAGGAGGGGAGAGUGGAACU